rnacentral:rRNA from 1 species
ACGGGAGGCAGCAGUGGGGAAUAUUGGACAAUGGGGGAAACCCUGAUCCAGCGACGCCGCGUGAGUGAAGAAGUAUUUCGGUAUGUAAAGCUCUAUCAGCAAGGAAGAAAAUGACGGUACUUGACUAAGAAGCUCCGGCUAAUUACGUGCCAGCAGCCGCGGUAACACGUAAGGUGCGAGCGUUGUUCGGAAUCAUUGGGCGUAAAGGGCGUGCAGGCGGACCCGCAAGCCGGGAGUGAAAUACCGGGGCUCAACCCCGGGGCUGCUCCCGGAACUGCGGGACUGGAGUCGCUGAAGGGGAGCCGGAAUUCCAGGUGUAGGGGUGAAAUCUGUAGAUAUCUGGAAGAACACCAAUGGCGAAGGCAGGCUCCUGGCAGACGACUGACGCUGAGACGCGAAGGUGCGGGGAGCAAACAGGAUUAGAUACCCUGGUA